rnacentral:lncRNA from 1 species
GACUAGUGAGCAUGAUAACCGCUCGUCGGGAGCCGUUACGUGUUAUGUAUUAUGGCAUGAGAAGAGUGCGUAUUAUAUUCUACUGUAACGAGAGGGCGUGGUUUAUGAGACCCGCCGCCUCGCCGCUUCUUAUUAACGACGCGGCGUCAUCACCGCCGCCCGCACUGGAGCAGCGACCCCGCGCCGAGGAAGAGCCCGAAGAGGGCCGCGCUCCCGAGGGUCGUCCGCCCCACGUGGCGGAUCUUGUACGCGAACCCGGGGAUCUGAUCGAUCGAGGCGCGCGGGAAGAGACGGAUGAGACGCGUCGGCGGUCGGCGACGGAGGAGGAGGAGGAGGAGGAGGAGGAGGAGGAGAGAGGAGACGACGCGUCGAGCGCGAGAGACGACGAUCGGAUCUGGCGUGAACGAUGGGGCGAUCGCCGCGACGCGGGGGUCGGGGGGACGCACGUAAUUCACAGCCUCCCACGAGCCGUACGCCGAGCCGACGGCGGCGCCGACGGCGGCGCCGAGCCCCGCGCCGGAGAUCACCCGGUUCGCGCACCUCUCGUCGAGCAUCGACGUCGGUCCGCGCGGUUGGGGAAUGAUGAAUGCGACGACGGCGACGACGCGUUUACAAAUUCGCCCGCGCGACGACGAGAUCUCAGAGAAUCGCCCGC